rnacentral:miRNA from 1 species
UGAGAUUCAACUACUUCAACU